rnacentral:sRNA from 12 species
GGCACGCCUAGCCCGACGGGGCGAACACCGGCAAACCUUCACCGGCUGGCGUGCGGAUUUACUGAGGG